GUCUUUGUUGCGCAAUCGGUAAGCGCGUUCGGCUGUUAACUGAAAGGUUGGUGGUUCAAGCCCACCCAGGAACG
rnacentral:tRNA from 1 species